rnacentral:SRP_RNA from 1 species
GCCGGGCGUGGUGGCGCGCGCCUGUAGUCCCAGCUACUUGGGAGGCUGAGGCUGGAGGAUCGCUUGAGCUCAGGAGUUCUGGGCUGCAGUGCGCUAUGCUGAUCGGGUGUCCGCACUAAGUUCGGCAUCAAUAUGGUGACCUCCCGGGAGCGGGGGACCACCAGGUUGCCUAAGGAGGGGUGAACCAGCCCAGGUCGGAAACGGAGCAGGUCAAAACUCCCGUGCUGAUCAGGAGUAUCCACUUGCUGAGAAGCUUGGGACGAGGCCGAGCCCUGUCCCUGCCUCUG